rnacentral:lncRNA from 10 species
GGCUCACAGAGGCUGGUCAUUGAGCAGCUGGAGGGGACAGGCUGGCGAGAGGGAAAGCAUUGCGUUCUGGGAGUUGUAGUGUUCUCCCUCCUUUCCGGAUGUUUUUGCAGGGUUUUUCAAGCUGCAGAACUUUUGACCCGAUGCAACGACCAAAUUCAGAGGAUGGUGCUUUAUAACGCAGGGAGAUGAAAACAUAAAAGCAAAUCAUUUUUAAGAUAUAUCCAAAUCAGAACUGCCCUCCAGUGGCAUCCUAGUGUAAAAGUGGAUUUUGAGAAUCUAUAGGAUAGAAUAUAGAACUACAGUACCUUAGGGAAAGAUUAGUUAAAAACCCAUUUGCUAUCUGAUACCGUUGCCUGACGAACUCCAUAAAGACAUCGCCGCAGAGAAGGAUGAAGUGAAAAAAAAAAUCUGUGUUUACCCUGCCCCCUAGAGACUUCAUCGUGUGUUAUACAAAUUUUGGAAACCGUUACUACUCCAUCUUACUUAAUAACAGGAUGCCCUUCAAGAACUUUGCCCAGGACUCUGGCAUCUAUGGUUUGCAGAAUCAACCUUCUUCCCCUUUUCACAAAAUGGAAUAGUGUGUACCCAGCCACAGUCUUCUGGCGUCUCUCCCCGGCCCCACAGUCCCUGAAAAGCUGCCAACAGUCUUCUCAUAUAUAAAUUCUGUUGGUACCCCAGCCGGAAUUUGUCCAAGCUUGGAGACAUAAGCUCAUUGAAAGCUAGGCAUUCUCAUACAA